rnacentral:rRNA from 1 species
UACGUAGGGUGCGAGCGUUAAUCGGAAUUACUGGGCGUAAAGCGUGCGCAGGCGGUUUUGUAAGCCAGAUGUGAAAUCCCCGGGCUCAACCUGGGAAUGGCAUUUGGGACUGCAAGGCUGGAGUGCGGCAGAGGAGACUGGAAUUCCUGGUGUAGCAGUGAAAUGCGUAGAUAUCAGGAGGAAUACCGAUGGCGAAGGCAGGUCUCUGGGCUGACACUGACGCUCAUGCACGAAAGCGUGGGAGCGA